rnacentral:rRNA from 1 species
ACCUACGGGGGGCAGCAGUGGGGAAUAUUGGGCAAUGGGCGCAAGCCUGACCCAGCAACGCCGCGUGAAGGAAGAAGGCUUUCGGGUUGUAAACUUCUUUUACCAGGGACGAAGAAAGUGACGGUACCUGGAGAAUAAGCCACGGCUAACUACGUGCCAGCAGCCGCGGUAAUACGUAGGUGGCGAGCGUUGUCCGGAUUUACUGGGCGUAAAGCGCGCGUAGGCGGCCUGUUAGGUCGGGGGUCAAAUACCGGGGCUCAACCCCGGUCCGCCCCCGAUACCGGCAGGCUUGAGUCUGGUAGGGG